UGAAUCUCUGCGUACGCAGCAUUCCACAUACAUUCUCUUUGUACAUCCCAAUCAACGCGAAAUUGAGCGCACAUGCACGAGCACCACACCACACCCUGUCUCCUCCCUCAAUUAAAUCAAUUUAAAUAUGGUAAUUAGUCCAAUUUGGCAAAAGAAACCUGCAAGAACAUGGCUAAAGCAAGCAAGAAACGAAAUUUCACUGAAAACGAAUUAGAGGUGCUACUAUCAGAGGUAGAAACAAGAAAAAAUAUUUUAUUUGGAAAUCUGUCCUCUGGAAUUAAUAACAAAAGAAAGAAAAAAGAGUGGGCGAGUUUGUCUGAUGCCGUCAACGCGGUGGGAUCUGAGAGUCGCACCGUAAAUGAACUGAAGAAGAAAUGGUCAGACAUAAAGGUGGAAGUUAAGCGGAGAACUGCUGCGCACCGACAAAGUGUGGGCAGAACAGGCGGUGGUACAGGGACCGAUGAACUUGCACCCUUUGAUCAGAGAGUUGCCUCUAUUGUAGGAGACACGUUAAUCUCUGGAAUCGUAUCCGCUGAUGUAGGAGACUCGGAUAUACUACAGGACUGCCAGCAAGGAACCGCAGGAACGUCCACUGGCACGCACUCAGAGUCCGCACCACCUGAGCAGCCAGAGCCCAUUCAGUCCAGCGUCUCCCGUGUCUCUAAUGUUCCCCCCAGUGCUGAAGCCCGUCCAUCUGGCCGUGUCUUGACGCAUGCUGUUCUGGAGUCACAACAACAAAUUGUUAGGGCCAUUGAAGAAAUGAACAGUCACCUUAAAAAUGUCACUGACGCACUCACAGAAAUAAGCCAUUCAUUAAAAGAAUUGGUCAAAAAAUGAA